GGCAUCUAGUAGUCUAGUUGUUAAGGCGCUGGUGUAAAACCCAGUUGGUGCUGGGUUCGAUCCCCGGUGGUGCCA